rnacentral:rRNA from 1 species
CGAGGAAUCUUGCGCAAUGGGCGAAAGCCUGACGCAGCAACGCCGCGUGGGGGAUGAAGGCCUUCGGGUCGUAAACCCCUUUUGCGGGGGAAGAAGUUCUGACGGUACCCCGCGAAUAAGCCACGGCUAACUACGUGCCAGCAGCCGCGGUAAUACGUAGGUGGCAAGCGUUGUCCGGAUUUACUGGGCGUAAAGCGCGCGCAGGCGGCUGGCUAAGUCCGAUGUGAAAUCUCCCGGCUCAACUGGGAGCGGUCAUUGGAUACUGGUCGGCUUGAGGGAGGCAGAGGAGAGUGGAAUUCCCGGUGUAGUGGUGGAAUGCGUAGAUAUCGGGAGGAACACCAGCGGCGAAGGCGGCUCUCUGGGCCUUUCCUGACGCUGAGGCGCGAAAGCGUGGGGAGCAAACCGG